AAGGUUAAGCCUCACGGUUCAUUAGUACCGGUUAGCUCAACGCAUCGCUGCGCUUACACACCCGGCCUAUCAACGUCGUCGUCUUCAACGUUCCUUCAGGACCCUUAAAGGGUCAGGGAGAACUCAUCUCGGGGCAAGUUUCGUGCUUAGAUGCUUUCAGCACUUAUCUCUUCCGCAUUUAGCUACCGGGCAGUGCCAUUGGCAUGACAACCCGAACACCAGUGAUGCGUCCACUCCGGUCCUCUCGUACUAGGAGCAGCCCCCCUCAGUUCUCCAGCGCCCACGGCAGAUAGGGACCGAACUGUCUCACGACGUUCUAAACCCAGCUCGCGUACCACUUUAAAUGGCGAACAGCCAUACCCUUGGGACCUACUUCAGCCCCAGGAUGUGAUGAGCCGACAUCGAGGUGCCAAACACCGCCGUCGAUAUGAACUCUUGGGCGGUAUCAGCCUGUUAUCCCCGGAGUACCUUUUAUCCGUUGAGCGAUGGCCCUUCCAUUCAGAACCACCGGAUCACUAUGACCUGCUUUCGCACCUGCUCGCGCCGUCACGCUCGCAGUCAAGCUGGCUUAUGCCAUUGCACUAACCUCCUGAUGUCCGACCAGGAUUAGCCAACCUUCGUGCUCCUCCGUUACUCUUUAGGAGGAGACCGCCCCAGUCAAACUACCCACCAGACACUGUCCGCAACCCGGAUCACGGGUCCACGUUAGAACAUCAAACAUUAAAGGGUGGUAUUUCAAGGUCGGCUCCAUGCAGACUGGCGUCCACACUUCAAAGCCUCCCACCUAUCCUACACAUCAAGGCUCAAUGUUCAGUGUCAAGCUAUAGUAAAGGUUCACGGGGUCUUUCCGUCUUGCCGCGGGUACACUGCAUCUUCACAGCGAGUUCAAUUUCACUGAGUCUCGGGUGGAGACAGCCUGGCCAUCAUUACGCCAUUCGUGCAGGUCGGAACUUACCCGACAAGGAAUUUCGCUACCUUAGGACCGUUAUAGUUACGGCCGCCGUUUACCGGGGCUUCGAUCAAGAGCUUCGCUUGCGCUAACCCCAUCAAUUAACCUUCCGGCACCGGGCAGGCGUCACACCGUAUACGUCCACUUUCGUGUUUGCACAGUGCUGUGUUUUUAAUAAACAGUUGCAGCCAGCUGGUAUCUUCGACUGAUUUCAGCUCCACGAGCAAGUCGCUUCACCUACGUAUCAGCGUGCCUUCUCCCGAAGUUACGGCACCAUUUUGCCUAGUUCCUUCACCCGAGUUCUCUCAAGCGCCCUGGUAUUCUCUACCUGACCACCUGUGUCGGUUUGGGGUACGAUUUGAUGUUACCUGAUGCUUAGAGGCUUUUCCUGGAAGCAGGGCAUUUGUUGCUUCAGCACCGUAGUGCCUCGUCAUCACGCCUCGGCCUUGAUUUUCCGGAUUUGCCUGGAAAACCAGCCUACACGCUUAAACCGGGACAACCGUCGCCCGGCCAACAUAGCCUUCUCCGUCCCCCCUUCGCAGUAACACCAAGUACAGGAAUAUUAACCUGUUUCCCGUCGACUACGCCUUUCGGCCUCGCCUUAGGGGUCGACUCACCCUGCCCCGAUUAACGUUGGACAGGAACCCUUGGUCUUCCGGCGAGCGGGCUUUUCACCCGCUUUUAUCGUUACUUAUGUCAGCAUUCGCACUUCUGAUACCUCCAGCAUACCUCACAGCACACCUUCACAGGCUUACAGAACGCUCCCCUACCCAACAACGCAUAAGCGUCGCUGCCGCAGCUUCGGUGCAUGGUUUAGCCCCGUUACAUCUUCCGCGCAGGCCGACUCGACCAGUGAGCUAUUACGCUUUCUUUAAAUGAUGGCUGCUUCUAAGCCAACAUCCUGGCUGUCUGGGCCUUCCCACAUCGUUUCCCACUUAACCAUGACUUUGGGACCUUAGCUGGCGGUCUGGGUUGUUUCCCUCUUCACGACGGACGUUAGCACCCGCCGUGUGUCUCCCGUGAUAACAUUCUCCGGUAUUCGCAGUUUGCAUCGGGUUGGUAAGUCGGGAUGACCCCCUUGCCGAAACAGUGCUCUACCCCCGGAGAUGAAUUCACGAGGCGCUACCUAAAUAGCUUUCGGGGAGAACCAGCUAUCUCCCGGUUUGAUUGGCCUUUCACCCCCAGCCACAAGUCAUCCGCUAAUUUUUCAACAUUAGUCGGUUCGGUCCUCCAGUUAGUGUUACCCAACCUUCAACCUGCCCAUGGCUAGAUCACCGGGUUUCGGGUCUAUACCCUGCAACUUAACGCCCAGUUAAGACUCGGUUUCCCUUCGGCUCCCCUAUUCGGUUAACCUUGCUACAGAAUAUAAGUCGCUGACCCAUUAUACAAAAGGUACGCAGUCACACGCCUAAGCGUGCUCCCACUGCUUGUACGUACACGGUUUCAGGUUCUUUUUCACUCCCCUCGCCGGGGUUCUUUUCGCCUUUCCCUCACGGUACUGGUUCACUAUCGGUCAGUCAGGAGUAUUUAGCCUUGGAGGAUGGUCCCCCCAUAUUCAGACAGGAUACCACGUGUCCCGCCCUACUCAUCGAGCUCACAGUAUGUGCAUUUUUGUGUACGGGGCUGUCACCCUGUAUCGCACGCCUUUCCAGACGCUUCCACUAACACACACACUGAUUCAGGCUCUGGGCUGCUCCCCGUUCGCUCGCCGCUACUGGGGGAAUCUCGGUUGAUUUCUUUUCCUCGGGGUACUUAGAUGUUUCAGUUCCCCCGGUUCGCCUCAUUAACCUAUGGAUUCAGUUAAUGAUAGUGUGACGAAUCACACUGGGUUUCCCCAUUCGGAAAUCGCCGGUUAUAACGGUUCAUAUCACCUUACCGACGCUUAUCGCAGAUUAGCACGUCCUUCAUCGCCUCUGACUGCCAGGGCAUCCACCGUGUACGCUUAGUCGCUUAA
rnacentral:rRNA from 1 species